CCUACGGGAGGCAGCAGUGGGGAAUAUUGGACAAUGGGCGCAAGCCUGAUCCAGCAAUGCCGCGUGAGUGAUGAAGGCCUUAGGGUCGUAAAGCUCUUUUACCAGGGAUGAUAAUGACAGUACCUGGAGAAUAAGCUCCGGCUAACUCCGUGCCAGCAGCCGCGGUAAUACGGAGGGAGCUAGCGUUGUUCGGAAUUACUGGGCGUAAAGCGUACGUAGGCGGUUAUUCAAGUCAGAGGUGAAAGCCCGGGGCUCAACCCCGGAACGGCCUUUGAAACUAGGUAGCUAGAAUCUUGGAGAGGUCAGUGGAAUUCCGAGUGUAGAGGUGAAAUUCGUAGAUAUUCGGAAGAACACCAGUGGCGAAGGCGACUGACUGGACAAGUAUUGACGCUGAGGUACGAAAGCGUGGGGAGCAAACAGGAUUAGAUACCCUGGUAGUCCACGCCGUAAACGAUGAUAACUAGCUGUCCGGGCACUUGGUGCCUGGGUGGCGCNGCUACGCAUUAAGUUAUCCGUCCGUCGGGAGGUACGGUCGCGAGAAGUAAACGUAACGAAAGGAAAGUUAGACGGUCGUGAGACGUUGUCCGACGGACGACGACGAGGGAGGAGG
rnacentral:rRNA from 1 species